rnacentral:rRNA from 1 species
GCAAGUCGCACGAGAACGCUUCAGCUUGCUGAAGUAAGUAAAGUGGCGUACGGGUGAGUAACGCGUGGGUAAUCUACCUCUGAAUUUGGGAUAACAUUGCGAAAGCGAUGCUAAUACCGGAUAACAUCCAUAAAAUCUCGAUUUUUUGGAUCAAAGGUGGCCUCUACAUGUAAGCUACUGUUUGGAGAUGAGCCCGCGUACCAUUAGCUUGUUGGCGGGGUAAUGGCCCACCAAGGCCGCGAUGGUUAGCUGGUCUGAGAGGAUGAUC